rnacentral:rRNA from 1 species
GAUGAACGCUGGCGGCGUGCCUAAUACAUGCAAGUCGAGCGAACAGAUAAGGCGCUUGCUCCUUUGACGUUAGCGGCGGACGGGUGAGUAACACGUGGGUAACCUACCUAUCAUACUGGAAUAACUCCGGGAAACCGGGGCUAAUGCCGGAUAACAUUUAGCACCGCAUGGUUCUAAAGUAAAAGAUGGUUUUGCUAUCACUUAUAGAUGGACCCGGGCCGUAUUAGCUAGUUGGUAAGGUAACGGCUUACCAAGGCAACGAUUCGUAACCGACCUGAGAGGGUGAUCGGCCACACUGGAACGGAGACACGGUCCAGACGCCUAAGGGAGGCAGCAGUAGGGAAUCGUACGCAAUGGGCGAAAGCCUGACGGAGCAACGCCGCGUGAGUGAUGAAGGUCUUCGGAUCGUAAAACUCUGUUAUGAGGGAAGAACAAAUGUGGAAGUAACUGUGCACGUCUUGACGGUAACGAAUCAGAAAGCCACGGCUAACUACGUG